CUUUAAAGGAUUUUUCAAAAGUAGGAGAAAGAACCUGUUUGUAAGUAGAGGGAAGAUACGGUAGAGAGGGAGAGAUCAUAGGGUGUAGAAAACUGCCAUUUGCUGAGUGGGUGCCGCUUGCAGGCCCGGAGCCAUGCCCUUAACAUGCAUAUCUCAUUUCAGCAGCAUGCCAACCCCAUGGGGUAGCUCUACUUAUACCCAUUUUCUGAAUGAAGAAACUGAGGCCGACCGAUGGAUUCACCCAGGGAUGGGACUUGCUGAGCAGUUGAAGCAAAAGAAUAGAGUGACUGGGAAGGGAAGAAAAUGAAGCCAAACGAAAGCUAAUAGAAUAGGGUGGCGGAGUGCGGGGCUUAACGGGCUGAGGGUUGUCUAUAUUCCAGACGUGGGAUUUGGAGUUGUUCUGGCUAAUGUCAAAGACCACACACAAGGACAUGGACGUCAAUGGUUCAUUCACAUGAGAUGACAGUUACCCAGGAUGAACCAACUGCAAAAAGCUGUCUGUGGACGGUAACUGCAGCAGCUUGCAGUCUAUCCGAGAAAACAAGACAUACCCUCAAGCAGAUACAUGCCAUUUACAGUCAUUGCUAUCAUCUCAGCACUGUGUAGGUUUAAUCAGCCUUCUGCUAAAAGGAACCAGGUCCAAGACAUUCAGCAUGGCGUGGUAGCUAAGCAAGAUCCAGUGUCUUCAUUCAGCACUGACAGAGUCACUGUCUCUGAGCAGUACUUAGCUACAGAAACUUUGAAGCCUUCUGCAAUUUAUUAUGCUGAGUGCAUCUAAUCAACAUGUAGAAUAAAGAUGGAGCUCCAGAGAAGUUAGCACGCAAUCUGGGUGACAGGUGCUGAGCAAGGACAGCCUCUUCCCAAUACUCUCCAAGCGGCCUGCUGUUUCCAGGGAAUGAUAUUAUCAUUCUUGGCAUCUAGAACAGGACUCAGUGUAAGAUUGUCUAAGGCAGUCACUGGCUACAGUUCAUGGAAGCUUCAGGACUGCACUUGGCAUGA
rnacentral:lncRNA from 1 species